UCUGUCUGUAACCGCAGCUCAAGCAAGUUUUCCAGCCUGCACCACUGCCAUCUCGGUGCGAUCCCAAGGUCAAAGAAACCUGCGUGGAACAAAAGUGAGACAGCGCACCUGGUGGCAGUACGCACUGCCCAAAACCAGAGCCUGGCCGGCCAGGGCCACACUCCAGCUGCCGGCCAGAUUCCCAGCUGCAGAGGCAUCGCGGCUGCAGCUCCUCCAUCCCCCAGCUAGCACUUGUAGCAAAGCAGACAUUCUGAGCCAUGGAGGUUGUUCAGAGGACAACAUCUCUGCAACACGAUCUGAUACGCUUGCACAAACAUCACUGGAUGCCAAGGGCUUUUCUGAAAUACAGUUCACUUGAGAUUUAACCAACUUGUCAUCUGGAUCCACAAGAAAGCAGUCAUCUCUAGGUCACAAGCGUCACUGCCAGGGGUCUUGGUGCAACAGUCUAAUACAAUCCCUGAAAAACUCAAACCUGGACAGAGUUAUUUGUAGAAAAGACUUGACCAAAGUAUUCCAUCACCAUUUGAAACAUGCUUUAGUACCUGAAGGGGAUCCAAACUGAGAACAGGACCCAUAAUAACAGCCCCAGAUGUAUCUGAGGCCACAAGCGGGUCACAGUACAAACUUCCAGGCUCUGAACUUUGAAACCACAAUUCACGGCCUCAGACGUGAGAUUAUGAGCUCCGUUUUAUAUUCAUCACUGCCAUGGGAGAGUUUCUGCAAUGCAUUUGAUCCCAGGAAAACAGGGCAAUCUCAGAGUAUGACACAGCAAAGGAGAAACGCAGUCAGAAAGGUCUUUUCCUCGGGAAUGAUAUUUAUAACCAGCAAGUACGAUAAACUACAGAAACCAAAACUGAAAAGGAAACAAAACUUCCAAGGCUGGGGUGCAAGCUGGUCCUGGCUGUGGAGCCCCGCUUCCCCGAGGCCACACUGUCCUCUCUGAACUGAGCAUGGGGGAGGCAGAGGUCUUUGCUUGAACACACAUGCAAGGAGAGGAAAAAACUGGGCUGAGGUUUUCACUGCAAGCAGGUGAUAGCUUUGUACCUUGUCAUUCCCUGAGGCUGCGAGGUAUUUGGCAACAACCCUGUAACUAUGCCAAGCGUGUCACCCUGCAGCCAAAUGGACCACCCUUCACUUUGAUGGACUGCCCAUUGCAGAAUGGGAGGCUUUGAUUUGGGGGAGGGGGGGAGGGCACGGGGGACUAUUAUUAUUUUGAAUUUGCAAGCAGAAAAAAAAAAGGGGACAACAGAUAUAAAAGGAAAGGACCUCCCAAAACUUGACAGUGGCACUCUGAAAUCACAAUCACUGUAAUGGGACCUCCAGCCAAAACCCCCUCCGAGCACUGGGGCAGCAAUAGCCUCCUCCUCCUCCAUGAAUCGCAGCAGGGACAGACCAGCUUUUCAAACAAGUAUUUAUGAUCAAAGGGCAGCAGCAUAUGAUAAAUAUUUAUAUGGUCCAUUAAAUAAUAGUCUGUAUAAAUAUUAUUCAAAAUGUGUGCACUGGAAACCACAGACUUCCCAGUUUAUCCUUAAACAAAUGUGUUAGUUUUCCCACAUCAGCAGUGAAAAAGAGAGAGACAGACAGACAGAGAGACAUAGAGACUGCCAUUUGCAAAAAUAUUUCAUUAAAAAAAGA